rnacentral:SRP_RNA from 14 species
GCCGGGCGCGGUGGCGCACGCCUGUAGUCCCAGCUACUCGGGAGGCUGAGACAGGAGGAUCGAUUGAGUCCAGGAGUUCUGGGCUGUAGUGCGCUAUGCCGAUCGGGUGUCCGCACUAAGUUCGGCAUCAAUAUGGUGACCUCCCGGGAGCGGGGGACCACCAGGUUGCCUAAGGAGGGGUGAACCGGCCCAGGUCGGAAACGGAGCAGGUCAAAACUCCCGUGCUGAUCAGUAGUGGGAUCGCGCCUGUGAAUAGCCACUGCACUCCAGCCUGGGCAACAUAGCGAGACCCGUCUCU